rnacentral:sRNA from 1 species
CACCUAACCUGAGUAGCUUUUAUAGCGAAAGGCAUGGUGGCAAAAACGCGCAAACUACUGAACCCGUCGUUCAGGCUCGUUUGCGCGUUGCAUUGGGAAACCUUUGCAGGAUCGAAAGGUCC